GACGAACGCUGGCGGCGUGCUUAACACAUGCAAGUCGAACGGUAAGGCCCUUCGGGGUACACGAGUGGCGAACGGGUGAGUAACACGUGGGUGAUCUGCCCUGCACUUCGGGAUAAGCCUGGGAAACUGGGUCUAAUACCGGAUAGGACUCCUGGCUUCAUGGUUGGGGGUGGAAAGCUUUUGCGGUGUGGGAUGGGCCCGCGGCCUAUCAGCUUGUUGGUGGGGUAAUGGCCUACCAAGGCGACGACGGGUAGCCGGCCUGAGAGGGUGACCGGUCACACUGGGACUGAGAUACGGCCCAGACUCCUACGGGAGGCAGCAGUGGGGAAUAUUGCACAAUGGGCGCAAGCCUGAUGCAGCGACGCCGCGUGGGGGAUGACGGCCUUCGGGUUGUAAACCUCUUUCAGUAGGGACGAAGCGCAAGUGACGGUACCUACAGAAGAAGGACCGGCCAACUACGUGCCAGCCGCCGCCGUAA
rnacentral:rRNA from 1 species